GCCUGGGUGGCUCAGUUGUUAAGCAUCUGACUUCAGCUCAGGUCAUGAAGUCAUGAUGUCGUGGUUUGUGAGUUUGAGUCCCACAUCAGGUA
rnacentral:tRNA from 1 species